GAUGAACGCUGGCGGCGUGCCUAAUACAUGCAAGUCGAGCGAAGCGGGGACGGGUGAGUAACACGUGGAUAACCUCCUAUAAGACUGGGAUAACUUCGGGAAACCGGAGCUAAAAAGGAUACUGAUAGAUGGAUCCGCGCUGCAUUAGCUAGGUGGUAAGGUAACGGCUUACCAAGGCAACGAUGCAUAGCCGACCUGAGAGGGUUAUCGGCCCCCCUGCAUCUGAUCCCCGGUCCGGACUCCUACCGUAUGCAGCAGUGCGGAAUCUUCCGCAAUUCACGAAAGCCUUCCGUAGCACCGCCGCGUGACUGAUGAAAGUCUUCGUAUCGUAAACCUCUGUUAUUAGUGAAGCGGUACCUAAUCAGUAAGCCUCGGCUAACUACGUGCCAGCAGCCGCGGUAAUUC
rnacentral:rRNA from 1 species